rnacentral:rRNA from 1 species
CAGCAGCCGCGGUAAUACGUAGGGUGCAAGCGUUAAUCGGAAUUACUGGGUGUAAAGCGUGCGCAGGCGGUGUUGUAAGACUGAUGUGAAAUCCCCGGGCUCAACCUGGGAACUGCAUUGGUGACUGCAACGCUGGAGUGCGGCAGAGGGGGAUGGAAUUCCGCGUGUAGCAGUGAAAUGCGUAGAUAUGCGGAGGAACACCGAUGGCGAAGGCAAUCCCCUGGGCCUGCACUGACGCUCAUGCACGAAAGCGUGGGGAGCAAACAGGAUUAGAUACCCCCGUAGUCCCUGUCUCUUAUAC